rnacentral:rRNA from 1 species
AUUGAACGCUGGCGGCAGGCCUAACACAUGCAAGUCGAACGAGGGGCGGACGGGUGAGUAAUGUCUGGGAAACUGCCUGAUGGAGGGGGAUAAAUACUGGAAACGGUAGCUAAUACUGCAUAACAUCAGAUGUGCCCAGAUGGGAUUAGCCUGUUGGUGGGGUAACGGCUAACCAAGGCGACGAUCCCUAGCUGGUCUGAGAGGUUGACCCGCCACACUGGAACUGAGACACGGUCCAGACUCCUACGGGAGGCAGCAGUAGGGAAUAUUGCACAAUGGGCGCAAGCCUGAUGCAGCCAUGCCGCGUAUAUGAAGAAGGCCUUCGGGUUGUAAAGUACUUUCAGCGUGGAGGCGUUACCCGCAGAGGAAGCACCGGCUAACUCCGUGCCAGCAGCCGCGGUAAUAC